rnacentral:lncRNA from 1 species
CGGGUCGUCGCUAUAGCAAUCGGGAACCGCUACCUGUCCAUUCCAAGGAUUCGGUCCAGCAGAAGCGUGAGGAGGUGGCGGAGGCCCCGAGGGCUUUGCGUCAUCACUUCUGCGGCCUGCGGGCGAGAAGGUGCGCUUCGGGAGUAGCGCGGGAGGACAGGAGGCGCAGGUUGUGAGGGACGCAGGCCCUGGGGCUUCGGUCUCUGUCCUCCGAGCUCAGAGCCUCCAGGCUUCUUCCCGGCCGCGCGCUCAGCACUCACUGUCUUACGGUCCCGAAGCGCUUUAAGGUGCGCAGUCCGCAGGCCUUGCCUACUGAUCUUCCAGCCACCCCUUGAAGGAAGCAGUUGCAGGUAUUAAGAGCUCCUUAUUGAAAAGGACGAUGUAGAGGGGCGGUGAGGGACUCGCCUCCGCAGGGAGGGCGCCCUGGCGGUCUUCUCAGGUUCUCUCUCAUUCCCGCGUCAGCUCCACCGUCAGGCUCGAAACCGACUACUCCCUUUUGUAGGCUUGCUUUGGGUUGAACAUAAAAACCAAGCCCCUUUACUAUUUCCCUGCUGGGAGGGGCUGCGAUUGGGAAAUUUUCAGAAACCUGAGGGAAAAUUAAAAGGGAGCGAGCUUUCGGUAAAAAAUCAAAUUAAAAAGGAGGGGCGUUAGAGAAGGAACUGGUAAAGAUUGCCUUUUAGGAGAGGAACUGGGUGGCUGGAAGAAUGAGGUGAGAAACUUUCCCCUCUCUAUCCUUUCAGACUUUAACUGGUUUCUUUUGUAUCUUCCCCGCCCCGAAAACAAUUUAACUUAAUAAGAAUAAUUUUUAAAGGACGUAAACUAGACACAGUUACAAAGUACGGGGUUUGGGGCUUGUGGUAGCUAAAGGUGUCUUUGGGGAUGCGGGCAUCCUUUUCCUCUCCUGCCUGAAGAGCUUAACUAGAAAGCCCCCCUUUCGGUCUUAGACAUCCCCUCUUCCUGACUUGUUCUGGCUGGGACCAGAGUUCAGUUUAGGUAGGCCAGUGAGUGACAUUUGAUGGUUAGAAUUCCUACGGUUAGAAUUAAUCCCUUCUGUAUCUCCUAGUAUGGAAAUAAACUGCCUGGCCACUAUGCU